rnacentral:lncRNA from 1 species
AGGAAUUCAAUUUCAUGUUUCAGGAAUCGAACCCCCACACUGCGGCUGCCAGCAAGGCGUGAGAUAACCUCACGCCUAUCCUUUGCACCACUGGGCUAUGUACCGGGGGGCGUUUUCUAUAAUUAUUGUAUUGCGCAGUGUUUGUCUUAAGCAAUUUUUUUUUUUUUUUUUUUUUUUUUUUUUGGCAUUCCAUGGACGGGCAUAUGACACACAUCUAAGAUGAGGUUCUCUGAUACAUGUUAUUUAUUGAUAACAUAGUGUUAGUUGAUGAGAAUGGAAGGUGGUUAAAACUAUGAGUUACAAUUUAGGAUUCUGGAAUCUGAAGGUUUGAGAACUAAGACACGGUGUCUGCAGUGUCAUUUUAGUAAUAGUAGAAACAGGAUAUUAAUGGGGUCACUCCAGAUGAUCACUUUUUCUAAGUGAGAGUUUUUAGGUAUUUAGAUGUGAUUAUUAACUAGAAAGGUGCAAAUGAAAGAGGAUGAAAUACGAAGAUUUGAUCCGGUCGGAUGAAGCGGAGAAAUGCUACAGGAAUUAUUUAUGAUAGAAGUGUUCCAAUUAGGUUUAAAGGUCAAUUCAACGAAAUAUUUGUUAGAAAUGAUAUGUUAUAUGUACUGAGUGUUGAUUGUUGUCGUUGCUAAAAAUUUUAAGCAAUGAAUUAGACAGAUUGGCAAAAAAAAAUUAUUCAUGUAAAUUAUUCAGUUUGUUAAUUUUUG